UCCUGUACAAUCACGGAAGUUAAGCAACGUCGAUCCUGGUCAGUACCGAGAUGGGUGACUGCUUGGGAAUACCAGGUGCUGUAAA